rnacentral:rRNA from 1 species
AUGACAUUUGACGGAACAACUGAUGGACGUGGUGGCCGCCAUGGAGGUGUUCGACAGGUUGAUGAAGUGUACCUGGGUACAAACGACUCUAGGGUGGACAGCGAUGUCGUAAAAGGCGAGCGGGUGUGUCGGUGCUGGUUGCGAACGUCCGACAAUGCCUGGUUGCCCUACCGACCCGUUUGGGACCCGAUCGACCACUUCACUUCCCGAAGGCCGAAACCCACAAAGCGUCCCCCGUCGCCGUCUUCGUCCACCCUCCCGCUAAACCCACUCCACACCACCCACCCACCGCCGCCUGCGCCUAGGGUUCCGCCCCCCAUGACCGUCGGCGAGCCGGAGAUGCCGGCGUCGGCGCGCAGGCGUUUGUUCCUCGCCAGCGUCGACGCGCUCAUCUUCCUCAAUUGCGGGCUGUUGUGGGUCGAGGUUCCCCCCGCGCUCUGGGCGGCGUCCUGGGUCUCCAUUUACUUCCUUAUGUUGCUCGGCCCCGUUGCCUGGUUCCUCGCCGGCGCGCGCUCCUCGCGCUCCCCGUACACCACCACCGACGCCUACAAGGACUUGAUGGGGAUCCUUGUUCCGGGGGCCUUCAUUCUGCUCGCAAUUGAUUAUGAUAAGGUGGUGGGUCUGCUGGGUGUGGAAGGAUCCCAGAGGGAACGGAUUGGUUCAACAGUGAGGGAUUUGGGGUUAAUGGGUGCUGGUGCAACAUGUUUGGUCACCUUAACAACUAUGAUACUGAGGCAAUGGAGGAUGAAGUAG